rnacentral:rRNA from 1 species
CCUACGGGAGGCAGCAGUAGGGAAUAUUGGGCAAUGGAGGCAACUCUGACCCAGCCAUGCCGCGUGCAGGAUGAAGGCGUUAUGCGUUGUAAACUGCUUUUAUAUAGGAAGAAAAAGACCUUGCGAGGUAGAUUGACGGUACUAUAUGAAUAAGCACCGGCUAACUCCGUGCCAGCAGCCGCGGUAAUACGGAGGGUGCAAGCGUUGUCCGGAUUUAUUGGGUUUAAAGGGUGCGUAGGCGGUUUAUUAAGUCAGUGGUGAAAGACGGUCGCUCAACGAUUGCAGUGCCAUUGAUACUGGUAGACUUGAGUGUGAUUGAGGUAGCUGGAAUGGAUAGUGUAGCGGUGAAAUGCAUAGAUAUUAUCCAGAACACCAAUUGCGUAGGCAAGUUACUAAGUCACAACUGACGCUGAGGCACGAAAGUGUGGGUAUCAAACAGGAUUAGAUACCCUGGUAGUCCACACCGUAAACGAUGAUAACUAACUGUUGGCUUUUGGGUCAGUGGUACAGAGAAAUCGUUAAGUUAUCCACCUGGGGAGUACGCCGGCAACGGUGAAACUCAAAGGAAUUGACGGCUGAGAGAGCGAGACGACGACGAGGGAGGAGG